UUUGUUAGCGGCAAUUAUUUGAAACCUAGCUACAAAAGAAGUCGUUUUAGUUGUGGUUAUGCAUACUGUCAAGGUGAACAAGAAAACAGAACAAUAUAUAUUUUAACACCUAAUAAGAGACACCAAGAAGUAUUCUGCAAACAUUUUGUACUUUAAUUCUUCUUAAUCGAAUUUCAUCCGAGCUAUAUGUAGAUAGUGAGAAAAUCAAUGCAAGUGCCCAAAUAUAGUUGUGACACUCAUGCCUUGGUUUUAACUAUGGAUUAGAAAGAAUUGAAAAUAAUGUGAAAUCACGAUUUUUCACGACAACACAAUUGACAUAAUAACUUCUUUUUGCAGCGGAAUGUGAAAAGUAUUAAGUGUGUAUAUUCUCUUAGAUGCUCUGAUGAAUUGCUUUGCGGCUCACAAGGCAAAAGGAAGUUAAGAACAAAUAAUUGGAUUAUACGUGCGUUGGCUUCGAUCUGCUAUAUGAAAAAGUAAUUUCGAUUUUGAGGAUGCACCACGUCCAGGAAGUACUCUUGAAAUUGGUUCUUACAGAAUGAAAUUUGGUUCGUCACAUCAAUGACAGUGAUUUGCUUAUCAAACGUUAAAGAAAUUAUCAAUUUUUGAAGCGUAUUGUUCCACUUCUUAGGCCGAUAAUCGAAGGGUAUCUUUUAGCUGGGAUUUCAAAGAAAUUCUGAAGUGUAUUGGGAUCAACUGGGCAAGUUGAGUGGUGCUUACAAGGAUAAACAAUUUUAUGAGCAUGGAAUCAAUCUCUGAUCUCUGCCCGAAGCAUGACAAAAGGUAUUGGAUCAAAAUGAAGAAUAUAAACUUUCAUAAAAUAUUUUACACAACAAAAAUUUGCACUAAAAAAUGAGAUUACUUGGUGAACGACCAAAAAAGUCAUAUGUAUUUGCUUGGAUCAAAACAUCAACAGUAAAGGCGCGUUCAAAAUUUCUAUGUGACGGGGCAUCUCGACAGGAUGAAAGCUAUGUCUUACUAACUAUAAAAUCUAUUGCUAUUGCCAUUGCCAAAUCUGUAAGUGGGCAUUUGUUAUCAUAACAUAAUCAUUUGCGCAAAGGUGUAGCGUAGGUAGGUUCGAACUGAUGUAGCGCAUGCUUUAAGCUCUUCAAAAAUUUAUUUUAUCACAUUGCGAAA